rnacentral:lncRNA from 1 species
CCUUAUUUAGGCAUGGACACUAAAAUGUGUGAUGGUUCAAAAAAAAACAAAAUACAAGUAUAUCACUGAAAUGACAUCCAUAGUAUCAAAUAAAAGUCAACUACUAUACAUGAUCUACCCUGGUACAAAAAAAAAGAGUUAUGUAAAUCAAUGAUUGUUCUAAACACUGAACAGCGAUGAUAACUUUUUUUUUCUUAUUUCAAUUCUAGAUCUCAAUAAUGCACUUAUUUCAAAAUCCAUAUUUUUGCAAAAUUAUAACAUAGGUGAUUUAAAAAAAUAUUUUGUUUAUAAAUCCUAUAACC